ensembl:lncRNA
GUCUUAUAUCUAUUGGAAGACACAUGUUUUCACUAGAUAAUUCCAUGUAAAUGUAUCCUCAUAUCCUCAGCAAAUGCGUUGAGUUUCCACGAAGGUCUACAGAGACACUGACCCCGACUAUAGAGGUGUGGAGGGUUCCUUGAGCUGAUUUGAAGGAUGAAUUUGCUUUUCAUUUUGGGGGCAGGGGAAUGGAAUCUCACUCUGUUGCCCAGGCUGGAAUGCAGUGGCGUGUUCUGGACUCACUGCAACCUCUGCCUCUCAGGUUCAAGUGAUUCUCCUGCCUCAUCCUCCUAAGUAGCUGUGAUUACAGGCACCCACCACCGUGUCUGGCUUAUUUGUGCAUUUUUAGCAGAAAUGAGGUUUCACCAUGUCGGCCAGGCUGGUCUCAAACUCCUUACCUGAAGUGAUCUGCAUUACACUUCAGGUAAUGAGCCACUGCACCGGGCCUGAAGGGUGAGUUUUCUAGGUGAAGAUAAGAGGAAAGAGCAUUCCAAGCAGAAGGAACAGAAUAUGCAAAGGUCCUGGGGUGAGAGGAAGCAGGGCACCUUCAUAGAAUGUAAGAACAGUGUUACUGGGACAGAGAAUGGAGAAAUAGAGGCCAGAGAGAAAAGGAAAGCUGAUGGUUUGCCAAAAGAAAAUGAAUUCCAAACUCUUGGGUCUGAACUGGGUUCAAGCAUCAGAUCCAGGGGAGCCCGGGGGAGGCUGCUUAGUCAGUCAGGAUGCUUGAAUGUCCUCUGCAGAAGCCAGGUGAGUCCAAGCAAAGUGGGGCACCUCCCCCGCUUUCCUUUCUCGCGUGUGUUCAUGUGUGUGCACAUUUGUGCAUUCUACCACCCACUCUUCUACCCUAGAAACUGAAUAAUAGAGACCAUGUAUAAGUACUUCCUGGGAUCCAGGCUCUGUGCCUAGAUUUAUUUAUUUAUUUAUUUAUUUAUUUUUGAGAUGGAGUCUCACUCCGUGGCCCAGGCUGGAGUACAGUGGAGGGAUCGGCACUCACUGCGACCUCCGCCUCCGAGGUUGAAGCAAUUCUCCUGCUUUAGCCUCCCAAGUAGCUGGGAUUACAGCUGCCUGCCGUCACGCACACCCGGCUAAUUUUGUAUUUUUAGUAGCGACGGGGUUUCUCCAUGUUGGCCUGGUUGGUCUCAAACUCCUGACCUUAAGUGAACUGCACACCUCAGCCUCCCAAAAUGCUGGGAUUAUAGGUGUGAGCCACUGUUCCUGGCCUGUGCCUUGAUUUAUGAUCUAUAUGCUUUAUGUAAAUUCGAGGGUUUUUAUAAUCACCCUUUAAGGGAGGUGCCCCUUCCCCUCUUCCCUCCCUUCUUUCUUUUAUUCUUUCUUUCAUUCAUCAAAUAUUUCUUGGGUGUUUACUAUGUGUCAGGCACUAUUCUAGGGUCUGGUGACACAGUGGUAAACAAGACAAAAGCUUACAUUCUGAUUCGCGUGCAAUUAAGCCAAUGAGUAGGACAGCUUCAAGCAGUAAUCAGUGUUACUUAGAAAAUAAGAGGAAGGUGGCAGACAGCUUGUGCUCUGUUCAAUUGAGAUGAGUGGUCAGGGAAGGCCGGCUGAGCUGAUUGCCGAAUGACAUCAAGGAUUCAGCUGCAAAGAUACAGGAGCUAGCUCUCCUGCGGAAGGAAUAGCAGGGGCAGACCGGGAGCACCUGGGGCACGUGCAGGGGGC